GAGAUAAACAAUCACAGGUUUAAAUUAUGCUGUAAUUCCUUCCUAUUGUUUAUGGAGGAUUUUUUUAGUUAAGUAUAAUAGAUAUCAUAGUAUAUAGUAUGAUAAAAAUGUAAUAGUAUAGCAUGAUCAAAAUACAGUACAAUAAUAUAAAAAAAAAAUUGUCAUAGAAUGGUAUGAUAAAGUGUCUUAGUAUAGUGUGAUGAAAAAUGUCAUAGUAUAGAAUGAUCAAAAAAAUCAUAGUAAAGUAUGUGAAAAAAAAUGUCAUGGUAUAGUAUGUUACAAACAUAGUAUAGUAUGAUACAAAUGUCAUAGUAAAGUAUAAAAAGUGGGAAUGUUAAAAAAUCAUAGUAUAGUAUGUGAAAAAAAUGUCAGUAAAGUAUGAUAACAAAAAAGUCUUAGGAUAGUAUGUUAAAAAUUGUCAUAGUAUAGUAAUACUAUAGUAAUAAAGUAAAAAUUUCAAAUGUAAGUGUAAAAAAUAUUUAUAUUUUGGUUUUGAAAAAAAAAAUUAUAGUAUAUGAAAAAAAUGUCAUAGUAUAGUAUGAUCAAAAAUUUCAAAUAUAAGUGUAAAAAAUAUUUAUAUUUUGGUUUUGAAAAAAAAAUUUGUAUGAUAUGAAAAAAAAUGUCAUAGUAUAGUAUGUUAAAAAUGUCAUAUUUAGGUAUGGAAUUUUUUUUCAUAUUUUAGUAUGAAGAAUUUUUUAUAGUAUGGUAUGAUAAAAAUGUCAUAGUAUAGUAUGUUAAAACUUUCAAAAUUUUGUUUAAAAAAUAAAUCAUAUUUCAGUAUGAAAAAUGUGUCAUAGUGUAGUAUGUCGAAAAUUUCAAAUAUAAGUGUAAAAAAUUUAUAUAUUUUGUUCUUAAAAAAAUAUGUUACAGAAUGAUAUGAAUUUUUUUUUAUUGUAUAGUAUGAUAAAAAUGUCAUAUUUUAUUUUUAAAUACUUUUUUUAUAUUUGAGUAUGAAAAAAAUCCGUUUAUUAGGAUAAAAAUGUCAUAGUACAGUAUGUUAAAAUUUUCAGAUAUAAGUACAAUUUUUUUUUCAUAUUUUAGCAUAAAAAAGAUCUCACAGUAUGAUAUGACAAAAAUGUCAUCGUAUAGUAUGUUAAAAAAUUUCAUAUUUUGGUACAGAAAGACACAUUUAUAUUUUAGUAUGAAAAAAAUGUCAUUGCAUCCUUGAAAAAAAUGUCAGAGUAAAGUAUGUUAAAAAUUUCAUAUUUUGCUAUGAAAAAAUAUUUUAUGUUUAAAAGAAAAUGUCAUAGUAUAGUAUGAUAAAAAUGUCAUAGUAUACUUCAAAUUUUCAUGUACUUUUUUUUCAUAUUUUAGCACUGAAAAAUUAUUCAUAGUAUAUUAUGAUAAAAAUGUCAUAGUAUAGAAUGUUAAAAUUUUCAAAUAUUAGUACGAAAAAAAAUAAUAUUUCAGUAUGAAAUAUGAAUAUAUUUUAUCUCACAGUAUAAUAUGAUAAAAAUGACAAAGUAUAGUAUGUCAAAAAUUCCAAAUAUAAGUGUUAAAAAAUAUAUAUAUUUUGGUCUUGAAGAAAAUUUAAUAGUAUGAUAUGAAAAAAAUUCAUAGUAUACU